rnacentral:rRNA from 1 species
UACGUAGGUCGCAAGCGUUAAUCGGAUUUACUGGGCGUAAAGGGUGCGUAGAUGGGGAAGAAAGUUAGAUGUGAAAUUCCGAAGCUCAACUUCGGCACGGCAUCUAAAACUACUUCUCUAGAGGAUAGGAGGGGAAAGGGGAAUUCCGCAAGUAGCGGUGAAAUGCGUAGAUAUGCGGAGGAACACCGGUGGCGAAGGCGCCUUUCUGGCCUAUUCCUGACAUUCAAGCACGAAAGCGUGGGGAGCAAACAGG